GUCUUCCAGUAUGGGGAGCAAAACAGCUAUGGGUCAAGUCCGAUAUCUUUAGGAGAAGUCUUAUUGUGAGGGCGAGUUAUAUAACACCAUAGGACUGGCCGUCCCAUAUGAAAAGAUUAUAUUAGAAUUGAAUGAAGCUUUGUUUAUAUAUUGAUAAUGACAGUAUAUAUAUCGUGUCUUGACUAAUUGCGUGCCAGCAGUCGCGGUAAUACGUAAGAGACUAGUGUUAUUCAUCUUAAUUAGGUUUAAAGGGUACCCAGACGGUCAAUAUAGCUUAUAAAAUGUUAGUACUUGACUAGAGUUUUAUGUAAGAGGGCAGUACUUGAGGAGGAGAGAUGAAAUUUCGUGAUACCAAAGGGACUCUGUAAAGGCGAAGGCAGCCCUCUAUGUAAAAACUGACGUUGAAGGACGAAGGCACAGAGAACAAACAGGAUUAGAUACCCAAGUAGUCUUUGCAGUAAAUGAUGAAUGCCAUAGGUUAGAUUGGUCAAUUAUAGUCUAGGGUUAGUCUAGCAAACUAAUACCCUAUGCUAUAAUCCUAAUAUCUGGUCUAUAAAUGAAAGUGUAAGCAUUUCACCUCAAGAGUAAUGUGGCAACGCAGGAACUGAAAUCACUAGACCGUUUCUGACACCAGUAGUGAAG
rnacentral:rRNA from 1 species